GAGAUCUGUAUACUGUGUUUUGUUUGUUUGUUUGUUUGUUUGUUUCUGUAAGGGAAAAGAAACUAUCUGCAAAGGAAGAUUCUCAUGCACAGAUUGAAACCCUCUGAGAUAUCAACCCCCUAGGUUGGCCCGUGCAGGCUUUCUUUGCCUUUAAGAAGAUGAAAUUGUUACCAAAGCAGGAGAAGAAUGUCAGACACUCUGCAUGCUUGCCAGAGAGCUCGCUCAUCCUCGCGAUAUCUUAAGCUGCGACUCAGAAA
rnacentral:lncRNA from 1 species